rnacentral:lncRNA from 1 species
GCCCCGCAGUGUACGUGGCACUGUACACACAGCCGCGGCCCCCAAGGCAGGCCAGUGGCAGUGUGAAUCCGACUCAGCGCAGCAAAGGACGCCAAGGCACAAAGGAGGAGGAAGGAUAACGGGGGACGAGAGUUGGGACAGUGAGAGAUUACCGUCCUCUCAGCAUCCUGAUCCUCUUUGGUGUCACUGAGAAGGAGAAUCAGACCAAUAAUUGGCUUAUAUCUCCUCACUGAGUGAAUUCAAGGCUCGUUGCUUGUCCUAUAAUCAUGCACUAUGAGACAGCAAUUACAAAGCACUCCAGUCAGUGCCUCUUUAAUGUGAAGAAAAGAGUGUUGGAGCCUGAAACGUCCAUGAACUUUGGGCAGAAAGAGGAGCCUGAAGAACUUUUGGUGGCAAUAUCAAGUUCCUUUUGAGGAGGAGUGAGAUGAAAUCGUCAGUGACUGAAAGUAUUAAGAAGCAGGGUGAAGAAUAUGGAAAAAAUAAUUAUAUGGAAAGUAAAGGGAGUUAAGGAAAUCAGUAAAACGAGGAAGAAAGUUGCAGACAGGAAAAUGGACUGAAACCUACCUGAAAAGAUACUAUAUUUAUAUGUUUUUUCUGUCAUUUUCUCUGCGCAUUCAGGAUGUCUGAACAGUGUUACAGCAUGAUUGGUUUGCUGGUUAAAUAUAAAAAAAACACCUUUAUUUAUUUUCCCUACUGAUUAAAAUUCUGUUCUUAAAACUAUUGUUUUGCUGAUGGUGAGUAAAUGGGAAUAAGGAAUUAACACUACAGGUAUUAAGGUAUUUAUGUAAUGUGGGGUGAAAACUCAGGAUAUA